rnacentral:tRNA from 1 species
GAGCAUUAGCUCAGUUGGUAGAGCAAAGGACUGAAAAUCCUUGUGUCCCCGGUUCGAUUCCUGGUGACA